AAUAUCCUUUGCCCAUUUAUUUACUGUUUUAUUCAUAUGAGCUAUGGCAAAAAUAUUAGCCUUUCCUCUGAUAUAAAUGUUGUGAAUACAUUUUUUUUCUUUAAACAAUUUGUUGUUUGCCUUUUAAUUUUGGUCAUCUUUCACACAGCUGAAGUUUUAAAUUUUUUAUGUGGUAAAAUCUACACAUUCUGUUUUUUUACGGCAUUCCAUUGCUUUGAAACUUAGAGAGUCCUCUCCCAUGCAAAGCUGACUACAGAAUUAUCUAUAAUGAACUCUAGGCUUUUCAUGUUUUGUUUAGUUUGCUUGGUUUUUAAUAGAGUUAACUAGUUACUCCAUCUGGAAUUUAUUUGUUACCCGGUAAGGAGUAAAAUGCUAAACUGAUUUUUCCUCCCUAAAUAGCUAACUAAUUAUCCCAGGACCAUUUACGGAGGAAUAAAUCUCUCCCACUCGUGUGUCAGUGCGGAGAAAGUCAGUAUCUGCUUGUCUAUAACUGCAAAGCUUCAAGGCUUGACACUCACACUACGAAACCCGGGUGAAUGACCUCAUCUACUCGGCUCCUGGGCAGUGAAGCCAUGAAACGGAAUAAAGAAAAACAGUUACCUUCUUCAGGGAUUCAGAUCUCCUGAAGGAGGUAGCUGACCCCAUCUACCUGAAGAGCAAACAGACAAGUUCAAGGGCAGCCUGACUCCGGAACUCCCCCCCAGCCUCUCUGGUAACCAGGGACGACUGAGGCACAAUGAAAAAAAGCAAAAGCCGAGAUGAGUAAAGGAUGCUUUAUUUA